rnacentral:lncRNA from 1 species
GGCAUCUCCCUUGCACAGUUCUCCUCCUCGGCCUGCCCAAGAGUCCACCAGGCCAUGGACGCAGUGGCUGUGUAUCAUGGCAAAAUCAGCAGGGAAACCGGCGAGAAGCUCCUGCUUGCCACUGGGCUGGAUGGCAGCUAUUUGCUGAGGGACAGCGAGAGCGUGCCAGGUAUCACGGUUACAUUUAUACAUACCGAGUGUCCCAGACAGAAACAGGUUCUUGGAGUGCUGAGCAUUUCAGAAGCCAGAUCAAGGCAUUGUAAUACCUCUGCAGUAUCCAGUUGAGAAGAAGUCCUCAGCUAGAAGUACACAAGGUACUACAGGGAUAAGAGAAGAUCCUGAUGUCUGCCUGAAAGCCCCAUGAAGAAAAAUAAAACACCUUGUACUUUAUUUUCUAUAAUUUAAAUAUAUGCUAAGUCUUAUAUAUUGUAGAUAAUACAGUUCGGUGAGCUACAAAUGCA